rnacentral:rRNA from 1 species
ACCCGCUGAACUUAAGCAUAUCAAUAAGCGGAGGAAAAGAAACUAACAAGGAUUCCCCUAGUAACGGCGAGUGAAGCGGGAUGAGCUCAAAUUUAAAAUCUGGCGGCCUCAGGUCGUCCGAGUUGUAGUCUAGAGAAGCGUUUUCCGCGUUGGCCUGUGUACAAGUCCCUUGGAAUAGGGCGUCAUAGAGGGUGAGAAUCCCGUCCUUGACACAGAUCCCAAUGCUUUGUGAUACGCUCUCAAAGAGUCGAGUUGUUUGGGAAUGCAGCUCAAAAUGGGUGGUAAAUUCCAUCUAAAGCUAAAUAUUGGCGAGAGACCGAUAGCGAACAAGUACCGUGAGGGAAAGAUGAAAAGCACUUUGGAAAGAGAGUUAAACAGUACGUGAAAUUGUUGAAAGGGAAACGAUUGAAGUCAGUCAUGCUUCUCUGGAUUCAGCUUGUUCUGCAAGUGUAUUUCCAGUUUUGCAGGCCAGCAUCAGUUUUGUUUGAUGGAAAAAGCUUGAGGAACGUGGCAACCCCGGUUGUGUUAUAGCCUCUUUGCGCAUACAUCAGAUGGGACUGAGGAACGCAGUGUGCCUUUAUGGUCGGUCUUCGGACACGUACGCACUUAGGAUGCUGGCAUAAUGGCUUUAAACGACCCGUCUUGAAACACGG